rnacentral:tRNA from 1 species
UCCCUGUAGCUCAAACGGUGAAGAGUCUGCCUGCAAUGCAGGAGACCCAGGUUCGAUCCCUGGGUUAGGAA